UAGGUAGUGAAUUUCACUGUA
ensembl:piRNA 21ur-3854 ncRNA